rnacentral:rRNA from 1 species
UACAGAGACUGCAAGCGUUAUUCGGAUUCACUGGGCGUAAAGGGUGCGCAGGCGGUUGGGUGUGUCAGAUGUGAAAUCCCGAGGCUUAACCUCGGAACUGCGUCUGAAACUACUCGACUAGAGUACUGGAGAGGGUAACGGAAUUCACGGUGUAGCAGUGAAAUGCGUAGAUAUCGUGAGGAACACCAGAGGCGAAGGCGGUUACCUGGACAGUUACUGACGCUCAGGCACGAAAGCAUGGGGGAGCAAAAGGG